UCACAGUACUAUAAGGAGUUGCAGAUCUCAGAAAUCACACCAUCAGAGCUAGAAAAGACCAGCAAUAUUAGGAACAGCAUACAUCCUGCGCCGAUACUUAACAGAGAUACUGAGGUUUUUGAUUAAAACUUGUAUCUGUUAUAUAUAAUGCCAUGAUCUUGCCAUCAUAGCUAACUGGGAAGAAUGAUGAGAGCCCUACCCCAACAAUAUAUGGAAGGCAAAAGGUCGCCCAUCCCUGCCUUGGAAAAGAGAAACCUAAAAACGUGGAGACACGUGUUCAGUGGCUUCUUAUGGACAUGAUGGGUUAUUUCUGAUGUUCCACUGACUCUGGUGUUACAGCUCUGUAAUGGCAGGAGAAAUCAAACCGCAUUUUCCUGCCACAAGUAUUAGACUGGAUUUUCCUCUUUCUCUCUCUUUCUCAAUGUGUGUGCCAUACUCGAGGAAAGAAUGAGGUAUAGCUGACCAAUUGCUGGAGUAGUAGACCCCUGUGUUUUGUCAUUCAGUCUGCUGGCAGGGGAACCUGAGUUGACAAACAGCUGGCAUUGUUUUCCAAGCUCUCACCUUUCAGAAUCACCACAUCCAUCACAAAAGGAAAUACCUGGGAGAGGAAGACCAAAGGAGGCACACACUGGAGCACAGAGACAAAACCUUGACUGUUCUGGUAUUCCUGAUUGCUGCUAAGCUUUGGCAUGAAAGAUUCCCCCACAGGAAAGGAAAGCCAGAGUGGAUGAAAUGUGAUUGCAAAUAGCGUGCAGCCCUCUAUUAGGAAAGUUGUGUGCCUUUCUCCCUUGUUUUUGGUGCAAUAGUGAUCCA
rnacentral:lncRNA from 1 species